CGGUUUCAGUGCCUCUCCCUUUAAAUGCUAAUAAGCUACUACGUGCACCGCCCAAAGAUGUAUUUGCGCCGCCCACCUCUCCCUGCCUGCGGAAGAUGUGAGGACGGCAUUGUGUGACCUUGGCAACGGCUGAGUUACCGGAAGAAAUGGCCGCCGGACAACAAACUGCGGUGCAACCGUACAUGUUCGAGCCGGAGUCCGACCCAGAACAACAAGAGGCUCCAGAAGGAGUUCAGCAGCCAAGAAUGAACAUGGAUGUUUCUCAGUGUUUGGUGUUCCUGUGGCAGUUGUGAACAAGUGCCUACAGAGCCUGAGAAUAUAUGCUGUAUGGAAAUACCACAGGUUACACGAAGACUUAGUUACAGCAGCUUCCUGAGCCACCAUCCUGCAUGCUGGACCAUCCUGGCCUAGAGCCUGUCUGCCUGAAUGUGUUUUCACUGCAGAAUGCACUGAACAUUUAUCGGGCAGAUUGCGGACCUUUACGUCUGAGGGGAAUAGUGCACCAAUAUAGAUACCUAGCCUACAGAAGCUUUGUAAGCUGGUGCUGGUGCUUUCUGGGGCGAAGAGUGAGAGCUGUGCUGCCUGCCUGUGUGGUGCUGAGGAUUCAUGCAGAGUUCCCUGACGCUGAAGGACAG